rnacentral:misc_RNA from 1 species
GAAAUGCGAUAAGUAGUGUGAAUUGCAGAAUUCAGUGAAUCAUCGAAUCUUUGAACGCACAUUGCGCCCCUUGGUAUUCCAUGGGGCAUGCCUGUUCGAGCGUCAUUUGUACCUUCAAGCUCUGCUUGGUGUUGGGUGUUUGUCUCGCCUCUGCGCGCAGGCUCGCCUCAAAACAAUUGGCAGCCGGCGUAUUGAUUUCGGAGCGCAGUACAUCUCGCGCUUUGCACUCAGAACGACGACGUCCAAAAGUACAUUUUUACACUCUUGACCUCGGAUCAGGUAGGGAUACCCGCUGAACUUAAGC